AUUGUUACCUCUAGGCAAUUGUAACCGAAUCGUAGCAAGUAAUAAUCCUGGUAAGACCAAGUAUCAUUUCCAAGAGACUCAAGGCCUAGACACUUAUGUGAUUAAUUGAUUAAUUAAGACUUGAGAACAAAGUGUUAUAAGUUUCAAAUGCAAAAGACUGAAAAGUAAAUAUGUAUGCAUAUGAUGAUCAAUGGCAAGAAGAAACAAAGCGUGAAUUGAAAUAUAUGGAUGAAUAUGUUGUUGGGUUUAUCAAGUUCAUCUUUUCCACUUUCUUGUAUUUAGGAAUUCAUCAUUCUUUUCAUUAAUUUUAAUGCCACUUUCUAAAUUACUUUAAACCCAAUUCCUCGGCGAAGAAAGCCUAAUCAUAAUCACUAGUUUACAAUCUCUCGUCUCCCUAGCAAUUAAUCAUGCAUUAUAGUGAACAGAAGCUUAAACCCAACCAUCAUGCUCCUAUCUCUAGGUUGGUAAUAUACUGUUGGGAGAGAUUCCCCAGAUCUAGACUUCCCCGUACGUUCUCGUAUCGACAAAACAAUAAUCAUGACAUCGAAUGAGUUAAACUAUGCAUGCUUUGAGCAAAGAGGAAAAACCCUAACUAUUAAUGAAAGAAAUCAUGUAUCAUAUAAAUGAUCUUGAAGAACAAAUUCCAUACAAGAGAGUUUCUAAAGAUUUACAUUGAUUCCCCAACAACAAAAUAAGUUUAGUUCACCAUAUUCAUGGUGAAACUGGAUGAAAUACCUCAAAGCAAGCCUACGCUCUGGAUACAUUAGCAUGGGAUAACACCACAAGGAUUCUGAUCCUAUUAUAUUUGCCUUCGGGAUCGGAGUAAUGAUUAACAGGGACAGUUGGGGCAUUCGUAUUUCAUAGUCAGAGGUGAAAUUCUUGGAUUUAUGAAAGACGAACAACUGCGAAAGCAUUUGCAAGGAUGUUUUCAUUAAUUAAGAACGAAAGUUGGGGGCUCGAAGACGAUCAAUUACCGUCCUAGUCUCAACCAUAAACGAUGCCGAUCAGGGAUCAGGGAUGUUGCUUUUAGGACUCCGCUGCACCUUAUGAAAAAAUAAAAGUCUUUGGGUCCCGGGGGGAGUAUGGUCGCAGGGCUGAAACUUAAAGGAAUUGACGGAAGGGCAUGAUCAGGAGUAGAGCUUGCAGCUUAAUUUGACUCAACACGAGGAAACUUUCCAGGUCCAUACAUAGUAAGGAUUGACAGGCUGAUAGGUCUUUCUUGAUUAUAUGGGUGGUGGUGCAUGGUCGUUCUUAAUUGGAGGAGCGAUUUGUCUGGUUAAUUCCGUUAACGAACGAGACCUCAGCCUGCUAAAUAGCUAUGUGGAGGUAACCCUUCACGACUAGCUUCUUAGAGGGAUUAUGGCCGCCUAGGCCACGGAAGUUUGAGGCAAUAACAGGUCUAUGAUUCCCUUAGAUGUUCUAGGCCGCAUGCGCGCUACACUUAUGUAUUCAACAAGUCUAUAGCCUUGGCCGACACGCCUGGGUAAUCUUUGAAAUUUCAUCGUGAUAGGGAUAGAUCAUUGCAAUUGUUGGUUUUCAACGAGGAAUUCCUAGUAAGCGCGAGUCAUCAGCUCGCGUUGACUACAUCCUGCCCUUUGUACACACCGCCCGUUGCUCCUAUCAAUUGAAUGGUCCGGUGAAGUGUUCGGAUUGCGGCGACGUGGGCGGUUUGCUGCUCGCGACGUGGUGAGAAGUCCACUGAACCUUAUCAUUUAAAGGAAGGAGAAGUCGUAACAAGGUUUCUGUAGGUGAACCUGCGGAAG
rnacentral:rRNA from 1 species